UUUUUUUUUUUUGUAUUUUCUUUCUUUAAAAAAUAAAGAAAAAAGACAAAAAAGAAGCUUUAUGGUUGGUUUGGAUUGCUUGCAAUCCAUUAUUUUCAUAGUCAGCUUUAGAACAACGCAUUCUUUCCUUCCCACAUAAUUUCUUUUUGUUUUGAUAUAUACCAAAACCCUAAAGCAAGCACUCAUUCUUGUUAAAAGCUACAUAUUGUAGGCCCCUUGAUAACUACCUAACAUCCCUUUAGCUAGCUCGCCUUGUUCAUUUGAUGGGUCAUUUCAAAGCAAAGGAAACAAAAGAAACUUCACUUUAGUGUCUCUCUUUGUCUCUUGAAGCUCAAGAUUCCUUUGGGCUCGAGGGAUGAAUAAUAAUUAAUUCCUAGAUUAAAUUUAAAAAAAGUUUAUUUCAUGUUUAGUUAGAAAAAUGUAUAAUUAAUCUCGAUAUUAAUUAUUCCGGAAUUGUAGUAUUUCUUUUAUUUCCAUAAAAAAGGUGAAAUAACUAAAUAACUAAUCUCGAAAUUGUUAAUCUUGUGAUAACUUCAUUCCAACCAAACGACCCCUUAUCUUUUAAUCUUUUUCUCCACUAUUUGGGAAUUAUUGGGUGGCCAAAAAAUUUGAAUGUGGAUUGAGUUUGGGGCUACUCCAUUUGCAAUGUGGUGCCGUCGUUUUUUUAAUCUCCGCUACUUUAUUUCUUCUCUUAUCUCUUCUUAUUUUUGUGACACUUCAUCAAGCUAAGUCAACGAUAUAUAUGUCCUUUGCUUGCUUCUUUUUGUCUCAAUCUCUUCCUCUUAGUUAUUUUUCAAGUUGACUAAGUCUUUUAAAUUAAUUGUCUCUAUCAUGUCAUGUGAUAGUUUUCUUCUUUUCUCCAAUUUAUUAACUCUCCAUUUUCAUAAUCAUUGUGACUUGAGAAUAUUGGCAAGAGAAGAAAACAUGAGGAUGAUGAUUUUUUGUGAAAUUUGAACCGUCCACUUAAGUAGGUGUACACUGGACUUACAUACUGCAACUCGAAUUUAAUGAAUUUAGAGUACUUGACUAUAAGAAAAUGACCUAAUAAAUAUUUAUAUUUUGUUUAUCAAAAAUCUAUAAUAUAUUUUAUUAAUCUCUAGUAAAAAGGUCAUAUAAUUAAGCUAACAAUUUUAGUGGUUAUAACAUCAAUCUUCUUCCAAGAUAUAGUUAGUAAGAAGAAUUAACCCGAUUAGCCAACUACUUAAUCGCUUAAAUAAAAAAUAGCCGGUGAAGAUAUAGCAUAUGGAUAAUUUGUGUUUAACAUGUUUAUAAUCGUACAUAAUCAAUAUAUAAUCUAUGUAUAUGUCUAGAAAAAAUAAAUAAUAAAUAUGGCCGGCUCAAACCGGGUCAAAAAUAUUUAUUUGUAAUACUCUUCAAUUGUUGAGUGAAUUUGGAGUAUAAUUUAUAAAUGAAAAGGGGAUAUGCUUCCGUACAAUUGACCUCCUUCUUGGACACAAAUUUAAUGGUUCUUAGAACCUACCACAGAACCAAAAUAAGCUACUUCUCCACGUAAACGUUAACAUUAACACAAUUUAUUUGACUUACUUUUAAUAGAACUAAAGGUCAAGAUUCGCCAUAUUAGAUGAAGCAUAAUUGUUCCAUACAUAAGUAUUCACUAACAAACCACAGUUUACAUUGAUGUGACUGUUUAAUUUGACACAUUGACGAGCAUUAGAAAAUAUAUAACGCUAAAUCCAACCUCAGUUUUUAAUUGUCAUAAAACUUGAAGUUCAAUUAAAAGAAUAAACGAUAACAAACUUUAUGAAGCUGAAAGAACAUGAGAAAAGAACAUUUGAACCUUGAGAUAAUAUUGCCUCAAUAUCAACAGCAAAAAGAAUAGUGCAAAUAAUGCGUAGAGCCUCAUAGCUGCUGGCUCUUCCCCCUAUCUAGUCUAGAGAUACAUGCUUAGCCUUUGUCUGCAAUCAAUUCCAACCAGGUUUUACUUUGGCGAAUUACAGAAAUCUGGUCAAAACGACUUUUGAUCAAAUUUUCAAGAUUGCCAUUUGUUUCACACAUCAAUAACUUCAGGCUGAGAGACAUUUAGAGAAUUAGCAUAUAGUAGAACGAACAUAUCCAAUCACUCGAUGCAACUGAAAAAGGUUGCAACUUCAGUAUUUCCUACCAGGACUUGAAGAACGGUAAAUCUUCUCAUCUUCAUUAUUAAGAUGUCAAAUCGCCAGUAAUUAUUUAAACAGAUUAUGACAUUUCUGUGACUAAAAACGAAUAUACACUUGCAGAAUCAUAAUUAUCUAAAACGAAUAUACACUUGCAGAAUCAUAAUUAUGCAACAAUUAUAAAAUCACAAUGGGGGAGCUGGCUUAGUAUCAGCCAAAACAACCCAACACUGAUCCGCAAACAUCAUGCGGAUCCCUUCCCCGGUCUGUCAUCCUAAAGUGCUGAAACUACUAUGAACUUGACUUCCUCGAUCUCGGAAUCAGGUAUAUGAAUCAGUAGAAUCUGAGGGUCUUGUCGUGUGAAACUUAACUGACCUUCAAUGGAACCUCCUAUGUCGUAUGUUGCUCUACUGUAUUGAGUAAGUCACCUUGUGCUUGCUCCUAAGUUAAGAGAACAGCGAUGAAGUAUCCUUUUUCUUCGUAGG
rnacentral:lncRNA from 1 species